GUACUUACCUGGCAAGGGAGAUACCGUGAUCAAGAACGCAGUUCACCCAGGGCGAGGCUCAGCAAUUGCACUCCGGCUGUGCUGACCCCUGCAAAUUUCCUAAAUGUGGAAAUCUCGAUUGCAUAAUUUCUGGACUGUGUUCGGGCUCUCCCCUGU
rnacentral:snRNA from 1 species